rnacentral:rRNA from 1 species
CAGCAGCCGCGGUAAUACGUAGGGUGCAAGCGUUAAUCGGAAUUACUGGGCGUAAAGCGUGCGCAGGCGGUUAUAUAAGACAGAUGUGAAAUCCCCGGGCUCAACCUGGGAACUGCAUCCAUAACUGCCUGACUAGAGUACGGUAGAGGGUGGUGGAAUUUCCUGUGUAGCGGUGAAAUGCGUAGAUAUAGGAAGGAACACCAGUGGCGAAGGCGACCACCUGGACUGAUACUGACACUGAGGUGCGAAAGCGUGGGGAGCAAACAGGAUUAGAUACCCGUGUAGUCCCUGUCUCUUAUAA